rnacentral:rRNA from 1 species
UAAAGUCAAAUUAAUUGGUUAAAACUAAUAAAUAGUUAUAAUAAAAGUACAACAACUCUACUUAUUGAAGUAAGAGUAAAAUCUUUACAAAUAAGAUAGAAAUGUGUUAAUGUAACAUUAAUCCUCUUACGAGGCGCUAGCAUAAAGACUAGGAUUAGAUACCCUAUUAUGGGCGUGAAUAAAUGAGUUUAUUAAGUUAAUAGCCUUAAUAUAAAGCAAAACCUAUUUACUAUGGCGGCUGUUAGUCUCACCAGAGUCGUAUGUCCUUAAACGAAACUGCGCGAUUAUCUUACCUUUUAACUUUUGCUUAUGUAAAAUAAUUACAUUACAGCAAUCUGGCACGUCGCUGUACUAAAAGUGAAGAUUUUAAAUAACUCAUCUUCUAAUUACUUAUUAACAUUUAUUAAUAACGUACAAGUCAAGACGCCGUUUUAAGAGGUUAAGAUGUACGAUUUAAUUGAUUUGAUAAAAUUGAUAAGAAUGAAAACUUUCUUUAUUAAAAUAAUUUGGAAGUAAAAUAAGGUUAUUAUUCUUAUUUGAAAUGAGCUACUAAUAAGU